AUACUACUCGCUCCGUUUCAUAAUUCUUGUCGAAAUGUUACAUGUAUCUAGAAGCAUUUUUGAAAUAGAUACAUUCAUUUUUUGACAAAUUUGAGACAAGAAUUAUGAAACGGAGGAGGUAGAUU
rnacentral:pre_miRNA from 1 species